UUGGGCAGCUGCGCGCGCCAUAGGCGCACCCAGAAACCCUUUGUGAACUUAUACCUUACUGUUGCCUCGGCGCAUGCUGGCCCCCUCGGGGUCCCCUGGAGACAGGGAGCAGGCACGCCGGCGGCCAAGUUAACUCUUGUUUUUACACUGAAACUCUGAGAAAAAAACACAAAUGAAUCAAAACUUUCAACAACGGAUCUCUUGGUUCUGGCAUCGAUGAAGAACGCAGCGAAAUGCGAUAAGUAAUGUGAAUUGCAGAAUUCAGUGAAUCAUCGAAUCUUUGAACGCACAUUGCGCCCUCUGGUAUUCCGGAGGGCAUGCCUGUUCGAGCGUCAUUUCAACCCUCAAGCAUUGCUUGGUGUUGGGGCACUGCCUGUAAAAGGGCAGGCCCUGAAAUCUAGUGGCGAGCUCGCUAGGACCCCGAGCGUAGUAGUUAAACCCUCGCUUUGGAAGGCCCUGGCGGUGCCCUGCCGUUAAACCCCCAACUUUUGAAAAUUUGACCUCGGAUCAGGUAGGAAUACCCGCUGAACUUAAGCAUAUCAAAA
rnacentral:rRNA from 1 species